AUGUCAUGGGGGCAUUUUCUUGUCAACUCCUUGUAUCUCUCCCAUGAUUCAUAGAGAGUCUUCCCAUCUUGUUGUCUAAAGGUUUGCACCUCAACUCUCAAUCU